rnacentral:rRNA from 1 species
UACGUAGGGGUGCGAGCGUUGUCCGGAAUCAUUGGGCGUAAAGCGCGCGUAGGCGGCCCGGUAAGUCCGCUCUGAAAGUCCAGGGCUCAACCCUGGAAAGCGGGUGGAUACUGCCGGGCUAGAAUCCGGAAGAGGCGGGUGGAAUCCUGGUGUAGCGGUGAAAUGCGCAGAUAUCAGGAGGAACACCGGUGGCGAAGGCGGGUCUCUGGGCCGUAACUGACGCUGGAGGAGCGAAAGCGUGGGGAGCGAACAGG